rnacentral:lncRNA from 1 species
AAAUGGUCAAAUCAACUUAUGUGGUUUUUCCCCUGGGAAUAUGCACCUGCUGCUUCUUCUUCUGUUGCAAGGCAUGAUAUCGGUAUCGAAACUCUACUCGGAUCUGGAGAAAAGGGCCCUGCUUUCGAAAGUGAGGGGAGUCAAGCUAUUCGAAGAACGGGAACAGGACUACUUUCGGAUCGGAAAGUGAGAUGUUCUUGCUUUGCUCUAGCGUGAGUCACAGGAAUCCCUGCUCGUCAUCAAUCAUUAUCGGGAUCUGGGCCUGAAAUCACUGGUUUCGAAUCGAAUCUACUUCUUUGUCACAAGCUUCUACUGUACUGAUUUAGGAACUACUUCUACACUUCGCCCUGCGUAUGGUUUCGAAUUGACUUCUUCUCCGGUUUUAUAGGGCUAUCGUUUUUAGAAGCUAAGUGAAGGUGCCGGAUGGAAACUCACUCUUGACUCGCCAUCUCCAUAUCAUAGCUUGUGUUCUGCCGUGAGCAAAAGAGUUCUAGAAAUGCAUAGAGCAAUGAAGUGACUCCGUAACAAUAGAUUCGUAAUGAAGUGUUCCCCAAUAGAUUCGUAUUUCUUCUAGCGCUCGUGAUGUGAGAUUCGUGAUAUGAGAUUAUAUACGCUUUACCCGAGGCAGAUAGACCCAAAGUCCAGAAUGAAUGAUUGGAGAAAGCAAGGUCAAGUCAAGAAGCUAAGUCUAGUAUUGCAAGGGAACAAGUCCGUAUUGGCACGAUUGCUAGCUGCGGUAGCAGAAGUAGAUGUGCGCCUUUUUCUAGAAUCGAAAGUGAAACAUCGGUGUAAAAGAUUGAGUGGGUUUCCAUAGAAAUAGUCAGGGGCGGAACUACCGCGAAUGGUGAAACUAUUGCAUGCCAACUGGAGUUAGGGGUUCUAGAAGGAACGGCGGAUAAAGCUUCCUCUAGUAGGCUUCUAGAGCGUCCGCCGGAAGGGAAAGAGGGUUACGUGCGCGUAUUCAUAGCUUAUGUGCAUAUCCCUUUCUUUCUAUUGGUACUAGUUCGCCGCUUUUGGUUGACAGUGAAGGCUUAUUCCCUUGGGUCAAAGAGGGAGCUGCUUUGACUUAUGGUCUAGUCUAUCUGGUGGAUUCCAUUCCAAGGCCAAAACCGGCAGACUUACCAAAGGCAAACCUACGAAGAAGCACUUCCACUAGUGGCGAGCUUCUCUAGACAGAACUAGGGCUCAGCCUGCCGGGAGUCAAAACCGCUGACUUCGUUUUAUUGAAUAGCCAACCUCCAUAGAAAGAUUCGCAGAACUACCUCGAUGGCUAUCAACCACAAGAUCAGUAGACGAAGACCCCAACUUCUCUCUUUCUGCUUUUGGACUGGCCUAAGCGCCUGCCUGUCUCUUCUCUUGGAUAUGCUUCUUUCGAUGAGACCGCUCUGCUUUGAUCGGGAUCUUACUCCACUAAUGGUUCUGUUUUCGUACCAACUGCCGGGCCUACGCUUUUCGAGUGUAGCCUAUCUUAUCUGAAGAGCGGCGGAGAAAAGGAUACCCGCAGGGCUGGCUCGGGGGAAGAGAUUGAUACUGGUCUUUCGCUUCGGAUCUGUCUAGAGUGUGAUGUGGCCCUCUUCUCCAAUCGACUACCUCAGUAAGUUAGACUAAUACCAGAUCUGGUAAAUCUGAUCCCCGCGGAAGCAUGUUUGCUUGAUCUCUAUUUGACAUCUACAAGGCACUAAAGCUUCAACCAUAGCCGAUCACUAGAUUCAGAACUACAGCCGUAAAGGAUUGAGCAGCACCAUUGUAGGAAUAGCUCGCUUUAAUUGGCGAAGGUUCGUAUACAACUAGCAAAUUCUACUUCUACUUAAUGUAAUGCCCAUGCUGGACUAUUUGCUUUGCCGAGGAUAUCGAUAGGAUUUCUGAUCGGAUAGGAAAGGUAGCUUGUCUCGCCCGGGCCUGGUCCCCAAUGAAUCCGAAGAUCUUAGCCGAGUUCUAUUCUAGGCUCGAGACAGACAACUCUUUCUUAUUGCUGGGUAGGGACUAGGGCUGCCAGGGUUUGAGCUAUUUCAGGAAGGGCCAUGCCUGUUUCAGAAGGCGAUAAAGUUUACGCCGAUCCAUCUUCGAAUGAAGAAUUUAAACAAACGGGAUGAGGAAUACGCCUAGCGAAUGAAGGACAAAACCAGGAAAGGAACCUACCCAACUCGAUACGAUUGAAGCACACUUCUUUUUUUUUUUUAAGUUGAGCCAGACUCAAUUGCUUCUGUUCCUUCUGGGGCUGGCUUGGCUUCUUGAGUUUCCUAAAAGGCCUUCCUCGGAUGCGAUAGAGAUAGAUCGCUUUUCUUUUUAAUAAUUCUUUCCCCGCAAGCUCAACAGCGGAACCGGACCCUGGCCUCAAUGGAUCCGAAUCUGGCCUGCCCGAAGGAAUGGACUGUACGAAUUGGUCACUUGGCUGAGACUACCAUAUUUGGAAACCUGGCCUAGAUUAGAAGGAUGCGAACAAGGCAUAGUUCCGGCACUUUCUCUACUCCAAUACCUGCUUCUUCGCCUGCCCAAAACUAAUAGCUCUGUUGGAACGAGUGCUGGGAUUCAUCUUCCUCAUCUUCAUUCAUCUACCUCGCGCCGGAGACCUUCACAAGCUCACUAGUAUAGAUCAGAUCUAUCUGGCCAAAGGAUAAACUAGUAGCUAUAUGAAGACCUGCACCCGCCCCUGCUCUGAAAUGUUUCCCGAGGAACUGCUUCCAGUAUCGAUAGAAGCUCGAGUGUUCACAUGCAUACCACUACUAUCCAGCAUCAACUGGACCUGCACCUAAAGAGAAAGAGAGGCGCAGAAUCACUCAACUAGACUCACUCCCCAGAAAGCAAGGAAGCUCAAAACAACCCGCACAAGAAUGCUUCCUACACUUCCAAUUCGAUGACAGUCUAGUCCUGGGAGAAGGCAAGGCAUCUCAUCGAUUCGCAGCACUUUCAAAUGCUGGUCCGCUUGACAUAUAGCACGAAAAGGAAAUCCAUAGUGAAGCCAUAUCUUCCGUGUGCGUUCUAGUAUGGGUGACUCUUAGGAAAAGUAACAAGUGAAAGAAGCCCGCUAACCCACUCUUCUUUCCCCCUACCUACCCUUAGAAGGAAAGUAGGGGCCUCGGUUUCCUAUGAGAAACCUACACCAGGAAAGAUAUUUGCCCCACCCCAUUUUGAUUAGGUACGACUUUAUAGUUUAUUACUCAACUCCCGAAAAAUGGGGCGGAGUGCCUCACAGGCCGCCGGGUCCCUCAAAUCCUCCCUUAGUUGCAAAAGGUUUUCAAGAGAAUGCUCCUUUCCUUGGCUUCGCAAAAUAGUGGAAAAAAGCUUUUCCCGCUUGUUAUCCUCGCGAUCAGAUUCUUUUUGUAAAAUCAUCAAGGGCAUUCUUUGCCUAAAAUGUUCACAACACAUACUAUAAAAACGGUGGUUUUCCUCUAUAAUUUGAGACUCAAUGCCUCGCUUUUUCUCCUUGGUUUCUAUUCCUGAAAUAAGAUCCCCCCACUCUUGGGCUUUUCGUUUUUUUCGGCAAUCCUCCAACUUUUGAUCCAUAUCCUCUACAUAUGGAUGUGGAUGCCUUUUUAAGGAACCCUCCCCCCGAGUCGGAUUUGUCUCAGGAAGUGGGGCCGGUUCCACCGCCACCGGUGGCGUGUUGUCAUGGGGAUGAUCACCCCCUUCUGGCGAAGGGCCAGUGGUUGGGCUCAACCGUUCGCCCUCCGUAGGGCUGAGUGGCGGAUCUAUAAAAUCUGGGGCGGACCGAACCUCCAUUUCGAAUUCAAAAUCUAAAGGAGCCUUUCCUUUGCGCCCCUCUUGGGUGGAUCCCUCCCCCGCUUCCAUUAGAAGCGGUUUUUGCCCCCCCACCUUUGAAGGCAGUUUAUCGGAAGAACCCCAACUUUCUCCUUGGGUCAUCCCCAGAGUAGCACUCUGCUCCCAUAGGAGCUGGAAUAGAAAACUGAGCCACAUUACGAGUGCGCCAAUGAGAGCCUUCCGGAGCGCCAGAAAGAGUUCCGCGAGAUCAAAAAAGCAAAAAUACCAUUGCAACCAACACGAGGCAGGAAGCAGAAGCAUCAAAAAAAAUUUACGAUUCAUGACAAUCCAAUUUUUGAAGCGAAAAAACUUCUUCUUCCACUUAGGAGAGGCGGCAGAGUAGGUGCGAAUACCCAGAAGGGUACUCGCUCCUCGUGCUCCCGCUCUCGGCCCGUUGAUUGCUGUUCUUUUUUGCCUCACAGUUUUCGUGAUCGAAUUACGAAAUAGAUAUACGAGCAGCCGUAAAGGAUCAUUCGCUGGGAUGGUAAAAGUGAAUCUUUUAUGGGACGGGAUCGUGGAAUCCACUAAGUAUGCAAUCGGUAUUUGUGAUCGAUCAGCUUCCAGUAUGACCGAUGACUUUCUAUCUGGAUGAAGAAUAACCACACAAUCAGGUUGUCGGUUCAACCCAAAAUAGAUUUUAUUGUUUCUUGAACGGAAUUUCUUAGGAUUAGCAUAAGAAUUGGUAAAAAAAGCCCCGAUCUUCCAUUGAGAAUCAUUGAUACAGCUCCACAUUUUUGCCAUUAUCGAAUAUAUAAAUAAAUUCUUCGUCUUUAAAAAGAAGGAACGGCUUUUUUGACAAAUGAGAUAUCCUACAAAAUCAAGAGCGUUUCGUAAACAAAUCAGUGUCUUGUCUGAAUCGAGAAUAGCAAUUCCAUUUCUGAAACAACGGAUAUAUACUUUUAAAUGGUGAGCAGCUACCCGACGGCCGAGAUGUGCAUUCGUACAAAGUAAUUUAGUACAGACAGUUGAAAGGAUUGUCAUUUCUGGUUUUCGUUUCCGGAGAUACAGGUGGUAAGUUAGAAAUGAAAAUAGGUUAGCAGCUGAUCUUCUAACCAAAAAGAGUAAACAUCAAAGAAAGGUGAUGACAUAACCAGUAGUUCGAAAGCGCGAAAGUGGGAAGAACAAAGAUAGAAAGGUUUCGCAGGUUCAGAUUUGGAUGCACUGAACACUUUUAAAGAUCUUGUUUUAGCGGAUCCGCUAUUCCCGCUCCACUCUCUCAGAAACCAAGUCAAUUUAGACAGACGCCUCAUGAUGUCCCGUUACCAUUAGGGCCAUCGAUUCCAACAGAGGAUAAGCGCGUUAGGCGCUGGACACAUGCUCUAGUCUAGUUACUCACUGACCGAUACUUUCUUUACUGCCGCUACUCGCUCACCUCCAACUAUCUAUCCAUCCACCGGCAUCCAAUGGACUUGAAGCCGAUCUUAAGCUACGGGCCUGGGUUGGAGCGACUUCUGCAUUUCCAUUUUACCGUGUUUUUUGUCCUCAAGCAGAUUUUCUUAGUGAAAUGGGAAUCCGGAUUUGGACUUCUUCCGUUUCCAGGUUGGCUUUCUUUCUAGCUAUAAGUUGAGGGAAAAGCUGCCUGCUCUUGAUCGAUCUCAUUCUCUUCUCUGUCUCUGGAUUGCCGAGUUCGAGGAAAGGCGUAUUCGUUCGAGUCAAGCUACACAAACGGAAUGCUGCUACUGCUAUUGGUCGUAUCGGUAUCGAAUUCUCUGCAGUGGAGGAAAUAGCCGAAGAAGAAGAACUCGCAGAUGGGAUGCGAAGUGAGGUGAAUCUAGUGGCACAGGUUGACUUGUAUGAUAUGAAUCAGUAGUCAGGAUUGGUACGAAACCAGGAUCAUACGCAGUAGAUCAUUUCUGUUGGGAUCCGUCGUGUCGUGGUGAAGUAAGUGUGCCAGCUCGUGAAAUGAACAGUCUCGAGUGUGUAUCAGUUUCCCGGUUGCAGGCUGGAUCGGAGAAAAAAACAAGAUUCACUGAAUUAUGAUACGCAAAUAGUCUUUAGUGCAGGAAUGCAGGUAGUACUUUUUUUCCAGCUAAGUGAGCAGCACUUGUUCUUCUCUUCGGACUCCGAGGCGGACUUCCGUACUUGAUUUUUCUAAAGCUAGGCCAUCUUCUGCUGCUUCAUUUAGGAAACCCUACCUAAACCCUUCAAGCGGCGGAAUAUGGGAUAGGUAAGCUAUGAUUCAAGAAACCUGCCAGUCCUGAAGCAAGGUAACUCAUCUAGAUCCAGAUCUGGUUCAUCACUGGCUAUAUUCUAACCGGCAUGGCAUCCUUUGUGGAUCGAAACGGAAACUGAUCACUGGUUCUAUUCGAAAUCAUAUACCCCUGCUGAGCCUGCCGCCUUACCCAAGACCAAGAAAGAGAUCCGGAACAUGAGAAUAACCGGCACUUUCCCGGAGCAUGCCUGCCUGCAAAUCGAAUCCUAUCCUAUGAAACAAGCUUCUACUAUUCAAAUCAAAUCAAACACAGAAACCUCAGCCGGAGAUGGCGAGUCAAGUAUUGCACGCCGGUUGGAAGUCAAGCUAUCUGGAAUGCGGAGACCCCACCCGUAGCUGGUUCUAGAUCCGGAUAAUCAAUCACAAGAUCAUGCGGAGAAUUUAACAGAACAGCUGGCAUGCGCACUCAACUACUUACAAAUGCCCGUGUUUUUCGUCAUCACUAGGAUGGCAAACCAACCAGAAAAUGGAUUUGAACCAGUGCAGCUCGCCAUGGGACAAAAGUACGCAACCCAAUGGCACCCUCGAAACGAGUACGAAGAUAAGAAAACUUGCUCUCGCCAAGUGGCAAAAGAAGGCCAGUUACCAUUCCAUUACCAGAUCUAUGCCCAGCCCUGGCCCUGAAACCAGACGACAAGAGCUUGACUCCGUUCUUCGUGUACCCUUCCUUCUGUUCUUCGUGUAGCUGCACUCCACUCACAGUUGGUUGACAAUUCGGAUUUUAUCACUCGAUCCAGUGAAUUGAGACUUAUCCGACAUGGGGAAAUGAGAGGUCGAAAGCGAGAAAGUCGAUGAUAACCCGAUUCCCUUCGAAACUCUAAUGCUGUUACUGGAACUUCUAGUACUAGAAGUGAGCGUUAAACCUUUCCUGGCGAGUCAAUACAGCUCAGCUAAAAUAGCAAGGAACAUGGCGGGCACCAAUACCAUGCAAAUUAGACACCAGAAGUAGUGGAGAAGGAACCAUGCGGAAGUGGGAAUAGGCCCACCCGAGAGAGAUAUGAACAAUGCCAUUCCAGCGCCGAACUGACCUGGCAAGACAAGGCUCAAGUGCAAACUUCCGCUUCCGUUUCUUUCAUAGAGAUGGAAAAGUGGACUGGCACUAUUUCCUGGCCUGGCAGCGGGUGGAUUCUAGAAAUAUCUAGAUAAGCAUUCGAAAAUGGCCCUUCUUUACUUUACUUUAAACAAGCCUCCGUAGAAAUCUUUCCAUUCUCCCUAGUCUAGGACCCGGGAUGAGGACUCGUAUUCCUAUUUCUUUCUUUGGAUUUGAUCGAGGGCUCAAGUGGCAGCGCAGAUGUUGUUGACAUUGGAGAGACCUCGUAUGCAAUUUAUUCUCUGCUCUGCGAGAUUUUGGUAGCAUUUUUGGGUACUGUACUUACAUCAAUAAAGUGCGCUCACUUCUUUGCACUUUGACUGACAGGUACACCAUGGUUUUGGCUGACAAUGUGGAUGGCGGAGACGAUCUUGAUCUUAUUGUUACUACUAUGAACGGCAACGUCUUUAGCUUUUCCACUCCCUCACCACACCAUCCACUCAAGGUAGGCAAUGCGUUUUUGUAGUCAUGUCUUCAUUUUGUUUCACAGUAUUUAAACUUAAGUCGGAUAGAUCUUUUGGUGAACCCAUUGCAACUUCUGCUUAAAGCUGGCUUGAUACUUCAGACUUACAUAUCUCCUUUGAUCUUUUUAUUCUUUUGAUGUUUAAACAUAGAGGUGAGCAUGAAAACGAGAUAACCAUAUCAUUCCAAUUUGAUGGUAGGAAUGGAGAUCAUCAAACCAAGGAAGGAAUAAUGCUGCAUAUCGGUACAACCGUGAAGGUUUUUAUGUUAAGCAUGAUUCCAGGACCUUCCGUGACGAAGAGGGCAAGCAUUUCUGGGUAGAGUUUGAGAUUGUUGACAAGUACAGGCUUCCCUAUGGGAAUCAAGCUCCUUAUAAUGUGACGGUAUAUUCUGUCAUCCUAAAUUUUAGCCUGAUGGAAAAUAUUUUUACUAACUUCCAACUACCUUUGUUUUACUGUUGGAUUUCAGGUAACUUUACUUGUCCCUGGGAAUUACCAGGGAGAUAGGCGCAUUGUGGUCAGUGAGAUCUAUCAUCAACCAGGAAAGCAACGGAUGAAGCUUCCCACUAUUCGUGUUAGAACGACAGGAACUGUGCUCGUGGAGAUGGUUGAAAAAAAUGGGUUUUAUUUAUCCGAAAAGUUUUCACUUACAAGAGCCCACCGCUUUAGAAGUGCUUUCCUCUCUCUUUCUUUCGUACAAGUAGAUCGUUUCUGUUGGGAUGAGAUCUGUAGUCUAAGAAUCGGUUCAUAGGAAAGCACGCCUUGCAGUUGGCAUCGGUAGAAGAUUUCCGUCUUGUCCCUCGGAGUGGAGCUAGACUCACUUCCUUUGUUCGUAACAUUAUACGUUACUCACUGAGGAAGAAGGGAGUAAAGUAUCUACACUCGUAUCGGAUCUGGAGAUCUGCCCCGGGAUGGAAAGGUAUCGAUCGACCAAGAACUUGUCGAAUUUCUUUGACCUCGGAGCCCGUACAAGCUCUUCUUCCACAACCAUAUGUGACCUCCCCGAGUUUCGAACCCCUCGCCCUCUAAAUGUGGAUCUCCUCCUCCUCGUUGUUGCCGUGGAGAAAGACCGUAUUCACGUCUAGUUGAAAUAGAUGCAAGUCCUCGGCCGCUACUAUACUAUACUAUACUAUACUAUGGUAAUAUAAAUUAGUCUCUCUAUCCUUUACCAAAGCAUGGUGCGUCUCUCCCCAUCCCCAAGUGUUCCUAUAGAAAAUCCCUCCCGCCCCCAUGGGGGGGAUUUCCUAUGGGAGUGGGGAUCUAUCUCUUUAGCUCACCUCACACUGAAUUCCAGGGAAAGAUUGGACAUCCUCGGAUUACUAAGAUGAAUGAACUCUACUCUCGUAUCGUCUCUACUCGGAUCUAUCUGGAGAAUGGCAUGGCCUGUACAGUUGCGAAAAAGCCCACAUCUGUCCCGAAGGGUCAUUAUUGACCAGGAAUUCCGAAUAAAGAGAUUAUUAUUCCCAUGGCGACACUAAUUAGUUUAGUCCAAUGAAAGAAUGCUAUUAUCCAGGUGACGACACCGCUCUAUUGGCGAUACGUUCUUCUUUCGAACCAAACCAGUGAACUACAACCUAUGAACUUACCAUUCUGUGGAAAUGAAAUGAAAUACAGCUAACACUUUCUUCUGAUCUUCGGGCAGUCCAAUCUCAUCAAGAGUAGACAAUCAUAUCAACUCCGAUAUUACACACUUAAAAUGCUUCUCCCAAGCCCAAGUCAACCCCAACAAUUCCAAGAAAGCGUAUCUCCUAUCCGGGACAAGCCUUGCUUUGGGAAUAUAGAGGAGUUCACACCCAGUCCAGACUUCACUGUAUCUUUCGUUUUAGGCCAGUCCAAUGAUACGAUACGAGUGCCUAAGGCAUUCCACGGUUCCUACUGGAAGUCAAGUACCCCUCGCUAAUCCAAUGAGGAACUACCGGUUAUAUUCGUCUUUCUAUUCGUCAAUAUGCUCGUAACAUUAGUCGUUACUCGCUCGUUAGUAGUUACUCAUGAAUUAUACGUGACUCGUUCAUUAUACGUUCCUCAUUCAUUAGUCGUGACUCAUUUGUUCCGAAUAUCAAGAAAGCAUUCAUGGCCUAAGGAGCAUAUUCUUUUGACAACGGUUUCCCUCACCUCCUCUGAACAUACACUCUUAUCACGGGCUUCAACAGACGGGAUAUGCUCGAAAUCAUACUUGCUUGCACGGAUACAGACUUGCACUUGAUGGACUAAACUAAUAGGUGAGUUCUCUUCUAAUCUAAAGGAAGAGUAACGAAUUGGGUAUUCUCAAGUAUGGAAACUGCUAGGCUAGGCAAUUCUAAAGUACCUGUCAACGGGCACAUACCUCUUGACGGCUUGGGGAUUCAAACUUAAGUUCCCCAUGGUUUUAACUGAAUGGCGAUUCGUAAGUCCCCUAUUCUCAACUAUGGAAUAUGAGAUGUUUGCAUAUCACGUUUAAAAAACUAUGAAUUUUACUCAGUAAACUCCCCAGGCACUUUGCUAGCAGAUGUUUCAGUACAGCAAGGAACCUGAGAAGAGACCCGAGGAACCCUGUAGGUAGAUAGUUUUCAAGUGCUCUAGUCCUGAACAAAACAACAAGAUGCGCGGUCCCCGAUUGGGAAUAUUGAUAUCAUUGCCUGCAGGUGGGAUCUGUUGCAGUAUUCAAUGAAUAAGUAUCAAUCUCUUCUCUGCGGUUCUGGGGAAGCGGUUGUAUGUCUGGGUCCUGGGCCAAGUAGAUUGAUCGUUUGUUUGAUAUUCCCGCUGGAAUAUUUUCCAAGAAGGAAUCCGGGGAUGUCCAUGAUUCGAGUGAUAUUGGCGCUCCACUUUCAUAUGGGAUCUCUUUCGUAUUGGAUGUGGAUGGGUCUAGAGAAUGGCAUGGCCUGUACUUGUUGUGAGGAAGCCCACCUGUUGCGAAGAAUAGGAUCCAUCCCGUUGCCAAAGAAGAGGUUGCUUGUCAAAGAAGAGGCUGGUAUCGGCUUUCCCUAGUGCUCCCUGGCAAUAUUUCCACAAGAUGCCCGUAUACAGAUUUGAAAGAAUUUCAUGAAUGAGAUCAUUUCUGUUGCGAGGAAUGCCAUUGGCAGUCAACUCUUGACUCGUAUCUUGAGAAUGGACGCUGGCCUAAACCCCUCUUUGGAGUAGGCCUACCUUUCUAAUCUAACAAGUGAAUACUAAAUACUUACUAAACUAAACUAAACAAAGUAGUAGAUUUCUUCCGUCACAGCUCUGCAGCUGUCCCUCACCAAUGUCAAAGAUAGGCCACGGAUUACAUUCAAGGGAUAUCUUGCUAGGAGAAGUCUGUACAAGCUUGUUAGCCAGAUCGAGAUGUGGUUCUGUUGGGAAUCCAAUCUCCUGUCCGAGGAAUAGAAUCUCUUGCGAGGAAUGGCUAGCUCGAUCCAUCUUGUGGAAUACCCCAAGUAUCAUAUCAUAGUCAUAGCAUUGGAGCUCGUAUCGUAUCGGAACACUUGUAUCUCGUAUCAACGGAGUCAAGCAUCUAAUCUUCUACUCUAGAGAUUGGGCCUGUACGAAGAUCUUUCUUUUUGCGGGCUAAAGAUCACUCUUGUCCCUCCAGUGAAGUGGUAGUUUUCUUGCUUUGCUUAUAGAACAGAACUGAGUCUCUUAUGUUCGUAACAUACAUUAAGUGUUACUCACUCCAUUGGCAUCUACAAGUGGUGCUUACGAGAGAGGCCUGCCUAGACCGAGAUAGGAAUCAUCAGUGGAUACGAGCGAGAAGAAAGAAAUCUAUCUGUCCAGCUUUGGCAGUAGGGAAUCAUACCAAUUCGUCUUUAUACUCAUUCGUUAUACGUGAUUCGUUCAACACAGUCUAGUCGAUCUGUCUUGUCCCUCGCAACUUGACAGUGGAAACAGAAGCAUGAGUGAAUCCGUACUGUACUAUACUAUACUAUACUAUUCGAACACAUCUCUUCACCCAGUGCCAUGCCACAGUGAGUGGAGCUAAGGAUGAAUGCAUGGGAUCCGUGUUCUAAGUGUUGUCUUAAGUGUUCUAAGUUCAGUUGUAUCUUUUUCUUGUAAGUUUCCGAAUAUUCUAAAAAAUAUUGGAAUGCCUCUGUCUUGUCCUUUGAGAAGUGAGUGGAGGGUAGGAUCCCGCCUUCUUAUAUUCGUCACGUUACAACUCUUAUCCUUCGAUUUCGCAACGAAGGAACUCUGGCUUGGUAUGGUAGGAGGAUGGAUAUGCUUUGUAGCAGAAUCAGAUGCUGGCUUUAUAUUCUCUUUUCUAUUCUUUUCAAGCGAGAAACGACUAAUUCAUGAGGAACUCCCGGUUAUAUUCUAUUCAUUAUACUUGCCUUGGUUGUUCCGAAUCUAGGGACGAGCAGGGAUUAGUAUAGUAUAGAAGUGACUCAUGAAUUACAACUCUUAUCCUUGAUUAUUAUAUUAUAGUGUGGAAGACGAAGAUCUUAAAGAAGAAAAGAUGGAGUGCCAUGCCACUAAAAGAAACCUAGGUGGGGAAACCGGUUAUAUUCGUAACAACUCAUUGGCUUUUUCAGAGAGAAGUAGCCGCUCCGUCGUCUAUUCUAUAUAGUGCUGCAAGCUGAGAACAAAGUAGCUCUCGCCUAGCAAACUAGAUUCGUAACAUUGCCUACGAACUCAUAUCUGCUCCGCAUGAAGAAAAUCAUAUCUAAGGAUAGAAUUCAUCAAGCCAUAAAAUCAUAAAUCAUAGAGAAAUGUUCUUCUAUCUGCGCCAAUGUUGAUAAGUGCAGUUCCUCAAAAUAAAAAACAAGAAAAUGGGAGUUCCUCCUAUCUGUUCCGCUCAAUCAGUGACAGUGGAUAGAUUCAGAAAAAUAUCUCGAAUUCACUUACAUAGAAUAGAAACAUACUCGUCACAUUCGAUAGAAUUCAUCGAAAACAUACUCGUCAUAUGCUCGUCACGGAACUAUUUUAGUGACUCGCUCAUUACUUAAAAAAUAUGUCAUUCCUUCUAUUUUGGGUUUCUUGAUUGAUAGAAGUUCCGGCACAUCUCCGAAAAGAUUGGGGGCCCAAAGUGCACCACAGUAGCGCCAUCCAAAGGAGGGCCGUGGAGCCGGUAACCUGGCCAGUUUACGAGAUGUGAUACAGGAUCACCUCUGUCAUUUCUAGAUUCCAAUGAGUAACUCCUAACGAGCGAGUAACGACUAAUGUUACGAGCAUAUUGAGGAAUCUAUUAAUCGUUUCAUUCAUUUAGAAUAUAAAUUGCAAAAACUUGUAUUUAGCUCAUCCAGAAAAAUAUUCAUAGAACAUGUGAAGCAAGGAGACAAUCAUUUCUUUGGCUAGCAGCAACGAUCAAAUUAGAUUCGUCUUUAUGCUUUACACGGAAGUGAGUUGCAUCUAAGUUAAGUGACUCGCUCGAGUUUAUCAUUGAUUAAGGGAACAAGCAAUCCUCGCUAAUCGACUAAUACCUAGCGAACCAACCACCUACUCUACUUUUGUAUCGGGUGCCCAAUAUUUGAAAGGCCACUCUACCUCUAUGAUCAAUCAAUCCUUCCGAGUACGGGUUGUUGUUGCUUUGCUUAUGAAAUAACAUAAUGCCCGCCAUCAGGAGGAAUCGCUGGCUCGAUAUCACUCUGAAAGGUGGAAUCUCAUAGUGAGUUGAGUCAAGUUGUGCCAACCAAUAGCCCUGAACAGUGCCAGUAGCUCCUAUCUCGUUCCAGUAGUCCUAUCUCUAGUGAUGCUUUCCCCCCCCGGGCAGAAAGAAGACAGUCAAAUCAAGGAAAAAGUACUUUAAAGUAUUCGAUUCUAUUAGCACGCUCCUUCAUACCCAACUUGGCCUGCUAAGUAAGAUAUCAUGAUUGGAGGGAUUUCCAGACAUUAGUCAUGCUUACAACCAAUCCGUAUCCCCUUGGUGCCAGCACGGGUUCCUUCAUUGUAGGAAAGAGAGAUGUAGGGAGAUCGCCGUUCCAGGUCCUCCUAUCAAACAAAGAAAGGGAACUACCUCCAACUAUGGUUACUACUGUAAAGGAGCCGGUUCUAGAAAUUGAGAACAUAAGUGAUCCUUUUAUCGGGAUGCGCUAGACGAGAAAUAGCACUAGUAAAGUGAAGCAAGUAGUUGAAAGCGUUGGCGCGAAGCGUUGUUCGAAGAUGCAUUUUCUAUAAUUAUAAUGGAGCAAAAAGCUAGAAAGGGAUCAUCCGAGAGCCAUAUGUGAAUGUAUGGUGCGCUGGGCCAGCGAAGCCAUAGAAACUCUCUCUCAAAGCAGUAAGCGAGCUUCGCCAUCACUCUAUUAGAUAGGCCGUGCGUGGGGUAAGAGAUCUCUCUCAGCCGUUCCGUUCCCUGGGCCUCAAGGUGCGGAGCCUGUAUAUACGUAAUUAGAUCGAUCUAUGAACAAAGGAAAGAGUCAGUCCGGUAAAUCUCAUAUUGGCGUACUAUCUAGAGGGAUUCGAGAUGUGAAAAUAGGAGUGGUUGAAGCAUCGAAAGGUGUCUCCGUUUUUAUUACUUGGUUGGGUGCCAGUCUGUCUGCUUUUUUUUAGUCGAACUCUCGCAUCAAAGGGGUAUGGGCAAUCGCCGCUAUCCGUGGACAUGACUUGGGAAGUCUUUAGUUGCCACAGGUACGGGUCCGUUCGAGGCAGACUGAGAAGCGGUCUCUUAACAGAUAGAUCCGGAGAUUUUGGAGAAACACGGAAUCCUCACUCUACAGCAAUUCAUGGAAAUGGUGCCAGUGCCUGAGUACGGGUCGCGGAAAAAAAGUGCCAGAGUAAUUUCGCGGGAUUUCUAUCGUAUACAUACAGUUGAGGUACUCCCGCCAAUCUCGGGUCCUGCUUCUAGCAACCAUAAUAACUAGCCGUUUAGCACUAUCGAACUAUAUGAGGAUAACUUUUCUCAAAGAAUAGCAAUGAAAUAGCGUAAGAGUGGUGCCUCACAUUGGUUAAGUGGUCCGAAUAGAGAAGUUCUAAGUGUGAAUGGUAUCGCCCUGUUUCUCACUCUGUUUUGUAAAGGUAACUGGUUCCACCAUCGUUUCCGGGCAGUGAUCUCCACUCUGAAUAGUCCUCCCUCAAGUGAAACGUAUGGUAUGAAGAGAGCUAAUAUGGAUUCGCAGAACGGGCUAGCACUAUUCGAACACAUCUCGAUCACCAAGGUCACGUCACAAUUCUAGAUCUGGAUAAGAACGGCAACCCUCUCGUAGAAAGAAACCCUCCAGAAAGGGAUAGGUUCUAUUCUCGCAACAGAAGAGAUCCAAUCAACCAAAGAACAAGUCAAGCCGCAGGGAUGGAUCAGCCUGACCCGGCACCCGAUUCAGAUCUGUAUCUCGGGCUAGCAUGAGCGCAAUCCUCAUCUAUGCUUUUCUCUGUGAUGCGGGGGGCUACCCAUUUAAGGAAAGCUGGGCUGUAAAAGGGCAAUUCAGUUCUUCACAACCGCUUUUAGGAGCAAACGAUCCUUGCCUUAGUAUACAAAAAGAGAGGAAUGAAUCAUCUCGUAUUUUCUUGUGGGAUAACCUUCAUCAGCUUUUAUCUCCAGCUACACAGCCUCUCACUCUUGUCAUUACAUUGCGGCAGCAUUGCAGUUCUGGCACUUGUUCAGCUCUUAGUGCAUUCUCAGAUGCCUCCUCAUCCUGAGCUAGCCGUCACAUUUUCUCGAAAUCAUGGCGACAGGAAGGGCUAAAAGAGACCUCAUCUGGUCAAGAAGCAAGGGCAACAUUUCAAAAUCGAGUACUAAAAUAUAUAGUAUAGCAGUAUCUGAUCCUUGCUUGGGAGGAAUUCCUAAGAAAAGAGAGUUCUCUCAGCCAGUGAGUUCCCUCUGCCAGACAAGCCAGUUCCUUCAGAGAUGGAGAAGUAGCUCGGGCAGUAGAAAGCAGAGAUGGAGAAGUAGCUCGGUCAGUGGAAAGUAUCCGAUUGAUAGUCUCCUACCCUUGGGAAGACUUCCAUAAAUAGAGAUAGAUCCCUCCGAUCCCUAAAGUAGAGGCACUCGUUUGAAGGAAGAGAAAGCCUUGGAACUACUCGUACCAAAGCCAGCCAGUACUUUUCUUGAUCGCUUAUCCUCGAUCUUCCAGAUAGAGUUCUGAGUGCUCAUUUCUUAUAGAAUCGAUUUCUAACCUUAGUUGAUAGACAGAGAAAGCCCUGUGCUGUGUGUGCGUAUCUUCCUACGAACUAGAGCGAAGCGGAGUAGCUUCUUUUUCCGCUUAAAUCAAAGGAUGGAAUGUUGGACUAUCAACCAACUGAGACUGCGCGAACUAGAUAGCCGAACAGCUAAAGCAAGCAGUUACCAGACAAAGGCGAAUGAAAGGAAACACAAACCGCAAGGUCAAGAUGUUUUCUAGCGGCCGUCUAGCGCAUCCGUUUUCUUGCUUGGAUGAGUUCUGGAAGGGAUAGAGGGAUUAGGGAUAUUAUCACUGAAUUGAGAUAUGCAUUCCAUCCAGAAGUUUCAUUUCCGCUUGAAGAAAGAGUGGGAACGUCGGAUUAAGCUUCCAAAAGUGGGCUAAUUGACCAUAUUUAAUUUAGGAAGGAAGGCCUGUGCUCAAACUAGAGGUUUCUCCACUCCAAUCAGGAUAGCAAGAUAUCGAUUAUCCCGAGUGUAUGUGACUUCCUGAAUAUCCAUUCCAUUGUUAGAUGAAUUAGCUGGGCUUUUGUUCGAGUCAAGCAGUGGGUUUGGAUGAAGCGAAUGUUGUUGCUGGCGGUGUGGUAGAGGUAGGAUAUUGUCCUUUAUCCCCGGGAGAUGAUUGCGGAUAGGUUCUUUCUUAUUUAUGCUCCUAAGUUAGCUAUCGGCCUGUUCGCCCACAUAAGCCUGAGACUCAUCCACCUAGGAACCCGGAAAUGCUUAGAGCAAUAGCCAGCGAACUAAUUUCACUUGCUGAGAGGAUGAAAGGUGCCUCAACAAUCCUCAUGUCCAAUAUCUGCUGCCGAGAGAAUCUCUGCGGCUCUAUCUCGACCGUACAGAAGUAAGUUAGUUGCUUUUAUUUUAGCAGAAAAGCGGCACGGCAGGUCGUGCCUGUCAGAUUUGAUUCGAUCAGAUAGGGAAUCCCCACUUUUCCAAGACAACUACAUUUCCAUUUCCGUUACAGCGAGAAAAAAGAUAGUGUGCCACCUUGAGUCAAGGUAUAUUCCUUCUUUUGCUUCUUUUUCAGAACGAAGGGCUCCAUCCUUCUUUCUAAUUCGGCCCCCGGGGCUAUAAUAUGGCGAGGAGACAGCACUUUUUCAGAUAUGAACGAACCUUUACUCGUACCUCUAACAGAAAUGUGGAGGAGUUGAUUUCCGAUCUUUAACCGGAAGACGAGUCAAUAAGUCAACAAAAGGGGUUACUCCCACCUUAGAGCACCACUACAUUUACUUACUACGCGCCUAUCCCUAUCACAUUCAUUUCUUUUACUUUCCUGUCUAUCAUUACAGACCGGGGCUUUACUUUCCUACAAGGAUUCCAGAUACUCUACAUGGUCUCCGCAUUCAUUCCUGUCUGCGAAUCUCUAUUCCAACCUCUACUCUGGGAUUCUCUUCUUGUGUGCUACUCUAGACAUAUUGACAAGCCUGGCACUACUUCUACCUUAGAAACAGGAUGAUGGUACACUUCCCUACAGGUCAGUUCGGCGCUGGAAUGGUUGUUUCCUUUAGGCGCAUCGUAUACUUGACCGGCACAUUCAUCCUAGUAAGUUUAACGGAUUGGAGGUAGUUCCCUUUCUUUGUGCGCGUAUACCUUCCCGGGUAAGUAGUAAGCUUUAGGAAAGACAACCAUUGGUUCAUAGGGAGAUUCGUGUCAUAGGUGCGCCGGUUUCUGACGAGGUUUGUGAUGUCUCCAGGCCAGGUCUAAGCAUAGCAUAGUGGGCUCCUAGCUUUUUUGGGUGUCUCUGUUCCAGAAAGGAUAUUGGAUGGAGCAGGUUCCUUGCUUGAUUGGAAAUCUUGAUAUCUUGCCAGGUUCGGUAAGGUUGACGUUGGUGCUAGAGCAACAGCUCUAUUAUGGAUUCUCGUACUCGUGAUGUGUCUUUAGCAAGACCAGGGCGGCACUUCCAUUGGUUUCAAGUCCAUCCAUUGCGGGUUCCUAUCCUAGGUUUCCUUUUCUAAUAUUUCCAUUCCAGUUUCUUAGCCCGG